UUUCCUAAUUCGCAGAAUCCGCUAAAGGAACGGGGGACCCAAUCUUCCGGGGUGAAGCCGCAGCAUCAAGCGGCCGGGCGACUCUUACCGUCCGAAUCCGUCAGCUAACUCCGUAUGCGUUGUUUGAGAGAGGAA
rnacentral:sRNA from 2 species